rnacentral:lncRNA from 1 species
GAAAAUAAAUCUGCGCAUGGUCAGUUUAAAAAUGUUUUCAGUGUUUAUUCUCAAAUGAUUUGACAAAACGUGCCAUGGAGAUAAUAAAAAACCAAAUUAAUAUAUUCGACGUUUUUUUGCGUCAUUCUUCUGAAAAUAUAUUAAUAAAAAAAGAAAAUGUGGUAUGAUUGCAAAUAACACAAUGCUCCACAAAUGACCAAUUGACACUGGAAAUUAUUAACUAUGGGUCACCGUACUGCCUACAACAAUGAGCAAAUCCCAUACCGCAUACACAACUAUAAAAGGUCCCGAAAGGACAAAUGUAACACAAUUCAAACUAGAAAAUAAUAAAAAAAAAAAUUAAUGAAAAACAAAUGUGUGACUCUUUUGCAAACAACAACCACUUUAAAUUACAUACUCCUGAGUUGAGACAGGACCCGUUACAGCGCUCGACUGAUACCGUUACUUAUUCGUUCCUUAUACGUUGAAACACAUUGCACCUAUUACGAAACAAAUCUUUUCAAUUGUUUUCUUGUCUCUGGUGUUAGCUAUAGGUUCUUAAAAGUGAAAUAUACCUAUUAGCGCGUAUGUUCCAGUUUUAGCGUUAGACCGAUGACCUGCUACUUAUUCGCUUACAAUAUGCUUGUUAUAGGUCGCACCUUUUUUGUUCUUGUCUCUGAUGCUAUAUAUUGGUUCUAAGAGAUAAAAUAACCCUAUUCUAAGGCGUAAAUACUCGUUUCAGUGCUCGACUGAUGCCCUGUUACUUAUUCGUUCCAUAUUCUCUUACUAUACGUGUGAUAUUCGGUGCACCUUUUUAAAACAAUAUCUUUUCAAUUGUAUUCAUUCAGUAUUUUUUUUUCUGUAGAUUACUCAUCUUCAAACGAAAUGAGCGUUAUAAGUAAUUUUUUUUCUGACAAUUUUUUUUUUUAAUUACUUAUGACAUGUUAAUCAAAUAUAAUAUUAAUAAAUGCAGAAGCAUAUAAUUAUCUAAUGAACCAAAUAUUUCCUUAUUCAAUUUUUUACGAUUUUUUGUCAACGAAAUGGUUAGGCUGAUUAUUUUAGAUAUGCAAUGUAUACUAAAUGUAAACGCACAAGUUCUUUUAAAAAGAUCGAAAACGCGAGAUGCUCUUCAGAGAUCGAUUUUAUUUCAAUUCCGUGCAAGUGUUAACGGGGUCUAAUUAACACCAUUUCUGUUUUGAUCACUCAUCCUUAGGCAUCUAUGAAUAUCGAAAUAUUCCGUAAUGUUGCUAGAAACUCAGUCUAAGUAUACUCAUACAGCUGUCAUACCGUGAGUAUGAAUAAAACCUAGUCCGACCUCUUUUCUCAAAUCUCCUUUUAAUUAUUUUUUUCCCAUAUGCAUUCCUCUGUAAUUCUUCAUUCCGACAUCUUUUUAACACAGACACGAUUAUGUUUUUUUAAACAAAAAAUGCGCACCUUAUACAUAAAUAUCAAACAAUCGGGAC